UGCCUAAGCUUAAUUUCAACAUCAGAAAAUGGAGGCUUUGUGCAGUGUGUAUUGCUAUUUGCUGUUUUGAAGGAACACAGAGAUACAUCCAAUGUUGUUCUCUGUUCCCCCAAGGAUCUCCAUCGUAUUCUGGUCCUCUGCUUGCCCAUUUAUACUUCAAAGUCUUGAUGACUGGAGAGAUAUUAUGUUAUAGAUAUCCAAAAGAAAAGGUGCAGAACACGGCACCUGUGUUAAAUUGCCAUCUCACACUGGUCUAAUAGCUCUGGCUUCAAUCUCUGCGAACAUAAACCUCGAGAGGAGUCCAUGGGGAAGCUGGCUGUGUUCAGAUGAUGGCUGCUGCUUUGUUUUCUUUGUGAAUCAAAACGUUAACAUGAGUGCCUGAGGACUGAGACGAAAGUCUGUAUUUAUUUUAUCUUUUCUUGUCAAUACUGCCUACUUCAUAAUAUGAAAUGUUUACUUGACAAUCAACUGAUACACGGAUGAUCCUUGCGCUGAUUUCAGCAAUCUUGCUAUAUCUUGCUUUGUUACAAAAAAUAAAAUAA